GCAACACCAGCUCAGUUGGUUAGAUCGUGGUGCUGAUAACUCCAAGGUUGUUGCAGGUUUGAUCCCCACAUGGGAUAGCUGCA